UGGAGGGGGCUAGCGUUGUUCGGAAUCAUUGGGCGUAAAGGGCGCGUAGGCGGCCGAUCAAGUCGGAGGUGAAAUCCCUCGGCUCAACUGAGGAAUUGCCUUCGAUACUGUUCGGCUUGAGUCCUGGAGAGGGUAGCGGAAUUCCCGGUGUAGCGGUGAAAUGCGUAGAGACCGGGAAGAACACCAGUGGCGAAGGCGGCUACCUGGACAGGUACUGACGCUGAAGCGCGAAAGCUAGGGGAGCAAACAGGAUUAGAUACCCUGGUAGUCCUAGCUGUAAACGAUGGGCACUUGGUGUUGCGGGUAUCGACCCCUGCAGUGCCGAAGCUAACGCAUUAAGUGCCCCGCCUGGGGAGUACGGUCGCAAGGCUG
rnacentral:rRNA from 1 species